GGUGUUGUGGUCUAGUGGAUAAGUCACUUGACUAUAUAAAUCAAAAGGUACAGGGUUCAAUUCCCUGCUAUGGUA
rfam:Strongylocentrotus purpuratus Contig49244_fixed, whole genome shotgun sequence.